rnacentral:rRNA from 1 species
GACGAACGCUGGCGGCGUGCUUAACACAUGCAAGUCGAACGGUAAGGCCCUUCGGGUACGACGAGUGGCGAACGGGUGAGUAACACGUGGGUGAUCUGCCCUGCACUUCGGGAUAAGCCUGGGAAACUGGGUCUAAUACCGGAUAGGACCAUGGACUUCACGGUUUGUGGUGGAAAGCUUUUGCGGUGUGGGAUGGGCCCGCGGCCUAUCAGCUUGUUGGUGGGGUAAUGGCCUACCAAGGCGACGACGGGUAGCCGGCCUGAGAGGGUGUCCGGCCACACUGGGACUGAGAUACGGCCCAGACUCCUACGGGAGGCAGCAGUGGGGAAUAUUGCACAAUGGGCGCAAGCCUGAUGCAGCGACGCCGCGUGAGGGGAUGACGGCUCGGUU